rnacentral:rRNA from 1 species
ACGGAAUAGAUACCCUGGUAGUCCACGUCCUAAACGAUGUCUACUAGUUGUUGGUGGAGUAAAAUCCAUGAGUAAACGCAGCUAAACGCGUGAAGUAGACCGGCCUGGGGAGUACGGUCGCAAGAUUAAAAACUCAAAUGGAAUUGACGGGGGCCCGCACAAGCGGUGGAUUAUGUGGAUUAAUUCGAUGACAACGCGAAAACCUUACCUGGCCUUGACAUGUAACGAACUUUCCAGAGAUGGAUUGGUGCUCGAAAGAGAACGUUAACACAGGUGCUGCAUGGCUGUCGUCAGCUCGUGUCGUGAGAUGUUGGGUUAAGUCCCGCAACGAGCGCAACCCUUGCCAUUAAUUGCCAUCAUUUAGUUGGGCACUUUAAUGGGACUGCCGGUGACAAACCGGAGGAAGGUGGGGAUGACGUCAAGUCCUCAUGGCCCUUAU